CACGACAGAGUCUAUCAUGUGCACGAGUCAUUGGGUUUACUAAACCUACAGGCGAAACGAGAGCAAAAGUUGUCAGAAGUAAGUAAUUACAGAUACAAAUACGAGGGCCGAUCCCAUACUUUGAUGUAUGGGCGCAGGCUCAGGACUUGCAGUCCCCAUUGUGGGACGUGAGUACCAGGAGUGCACCUGGUAGUACCCGAAAGAUGGUGACCUAUGCCUGGCCGGGAUGAAGCCAGAGGAAACUCUGGUGGAGGUCCUGAACGGUUCUGACGUGCAAAUCGAUCGUAAGAGCUGGGUAUAGGGGCGAAAGACUAAUCGAACUAUCUAGUAGCUGGUUCCCUCUGAAGUUUCCCUAAGGAUAGCUGGUGCUCGUAUCAGAGUUUCAUCCAGUAAAGCGAAUAAUUAGAGGUGUUGGGGACGAAACGUCCUCAACCUUUUAUAAUACUUCAAAUGGGUGAGAAGUCAGGCUUGUAUUAAAGCCUGACUAAGAAUCUGAGUGCCUAGUGGGCCAUUUUUGGUAAGCAGAACUGGCGCUGUGGGAUGAACCAAACGUUGAGUUAAGGGGCCUAAAUGAACGCCUUUCUGAUCCCAUGAAAGGGUGUUGGUUGCUGAAGACAGCAGGACGGUGGCCAUGGAAGUUGGAAUCCGCUUAGGAGUGUGUACAACUCACCUGCCGA
rnacentral:rRNA from 1 species